GGGGCCGUAGCUCAGCUGGGAGAGCGCUUGAAUGGCAUUCAAGAGGUCAGGGGUUCGACUCCCCUCGGCUCCA
rnacentral:tRNA from 1 species